GUUUUAAUAGUUUAAAUUUUAAAACCUUGGUCUUGUAAAUCAAAAUUGAAGUCAUUCUUAAAACU
rnacentral:tRNA from 1 species